UCUGUGGUCUAAGCUAGGCUGCUGCCCCCUCUCGUUUACACAAGUAGGAAGAGGAAAGAGAACCUGGAGGAGGUAUGGCACACAUGGCCUCUGCUUACAUAUCAGAGAACUCAGUGUCCUGGCCACAGUCAAAUACAACAGAGGCCAGGAAAGGUUGUGUAUCUCGGCUAACACAUGUCCAGCUACAAGUUUCUAUUACAGCUGAUGAAAGAGACAACUAGCGGGCUCUGUACAUUGAUUCAAUCCUGUCUGAGGAUGACCAUAUGGAAGCAUAAGGAGAGGAGACAAGUGAGUCAGACAGUGGCCAAGUUUCUGAUUUGGGAUACCAUUCACAAACAUGGGGAGAAGAAAAAGUAGAAGACAUUUGGAAGAAGAAAAAACAUUGCAAUUGGACAAGUUGACUUUGAGAUUCCUAUGAGCAGGGGUAUACUGACAAACCUGCUCUCCCAAAAAAUCCUGUUUAUAGCCUUUGAUGAUUUCCACGAUCCAAAUGUACCCAUCAUGGCCUAUUUCAAGCUACCAAGAUGAUGUCACUGAAUGAGCAGUUGGAAAGAAAUGUGCAUGAAUAGGCUUUCAUAAGCCAGCAAAGGCUGGGUUCAGCUCACCUCUACCAGUGAGGAUUUCCAAAUGGAGGUAUCUUAAAGACACUGGGAUAUGCAGAGCUCAAGCUAAGGAGUAGAAUCUAGUGCAUUCUGUGCUACCUGACACCUAUUGGGGUCCUGGAAGGAGGAAGCAACAAUCCUGAGUGAAACCUCGACAAGAAGUAUCCAAUAGGUAGACAAAGGGAUUGGGGGUAUGAGUUGUUAGUUAGCAGAGGGAAAGAAGAGAGUGACUCACAAAAGGAGAACAAAAUUUUG